rnacentral:rRNA from 1 species
UACGUAGGGCGCAAGCGUUAUCCGGAAUUAUUGGGCGUAAAGAGCUCGUAGGCGGUUUGUCGCGUCUGCCGUGAAAGUCCGGGGCUCAACUCCGGAUCUGCGGUGGGUACGGGCAGACUAGAGUGAUGUAGGGGAGACUGGAAUUCCUGGUGUAGCGGUGAAAUGCGUAGAGAUCCGGAGGAACACCGACGGCGCAGGCAGCGUCCUGGCCGCUUGCUGACACUGAGGCACGAAAGCUGGGGGAGCAAACAGG